GACGAACGCUGGCGGCGUGCCUAAUACAUGCAAGUCGAACGGUCUUUUCUAUGGAAGCUUGCUUCCACUGAGAAGAUAGUGGCGAACGGGUGAGUAACACGUGGGUAACCUGCCCAUAAGAGGGGGAUAACAUCCGGAAACGGGUGCUAAUACCGCAUAGUUUUCUUGAUCGCAUGAUCGAGACAGGAAAGACUGCCUUUGUGCUGUCCCUUAUGGAUGGACCCGCGGCGUAUUAGUUGGUUGGUGAGGUAACGGCUCACCAAGACGAUGAUACGUAGCCGACCUGAGAGGGUGCUCGGCCACAUUGGGACUGAGACACGGCCCAAACCCCUACGGGAGGCAGCAGUAGGGAAUCUUCCGCAAUGGACGAAAGUCUGACGGAGCAACGCCGCGUGAGUGAAGAAGGUUUUCGGAUCGUAAAACUCUGUUGUCAGAGAAGAACAAGUCGGAGAGUAACUGCUCCGGCCUUGACGGUAUCUGACCAGAAAGCCACGGCUAACUACGUGCCAGCCACCGCUGUAAAAC
rnacentral:rRNA from 1 species